AGAACAUCUAGAGAAGAGAAGAGGAGAGAAGGAGGCGAGAAGCUCUGCUGAAACGAAGAGCACGGACUACCAUCUUCGAUCUACCAUCUUCAAGGUAAGGCAAUCAGGUGCAGAAAUCAGAAGAGAUCGAACCAGUGAGACUAUUACCGGACAGAUCGAGGGUCUGGAGGCUCUGCCCUACCCAUGAUUUUUUAUGAAUAAGAAAAGCUCUCUGCUACUGAUUUUGUUGAUUUCUGACCCUGUACUGCUGUGAGAUUUGGUAGCGAAGGCCUGGUGGUUUCCAAGUUAGGCUCUGGCGGGAUUCAAAGCCUUCAAUUAGAUGGAUUCCUGAUUAAUUAUCUCUCCCGUCUCUUCUCUAUCUUUCCUCCAUCAAAAUCAGAUCGAGGGUCUGGAGGCUCUGGCAGUAUUGCAAAGAUUCAGGGAUCUGUUUAGAAAGCGUCAUCGUUGGGAGAGAUAGACCGAUCAGACGAUUCUCCCCUUCUCCUUUUCUUUCAUAUUUCAUAUGGCAAGGAAAUACGGC